rnacentral:tRNA from 1 species
GGGUCGUUAACUCAGUUGGAAGAUCAGUUGACUUUUAAUCAAUUGGUCGUCGGUUUUAUUCCUGCACGACCCACCA